rnacentral:lncRNA from 1 species
AAUAAACGGCUUGUUUACAUGUGCAUAUAUGGUACGUUAAUUUUAAAUAAAUUAUACUUAUAUAUACUUUGUAAAAUUAUUUAUCGAUCCACACAAAAGAACUUAAAACUGAGAAAAAAAAAACAAAAAAAAACGCUUGUACUUAACAAAAUAUAAAAAAAAAGAAAAAAGGAAAAACAUAAUGGAAGAAAUGUUAGACAAUAGUGAAAUAAAAAAAAGCCUUCAAAUGCAAAUUAAAAAUAUUGUUGAUGAAAAUGAAAAACAAUACAAUGAGUUGAUGACAUACAUAGACCAUGAAAAAAGUAAAAAUUUAAACACAAAAAAAAAAAAAAAAUAAAAAAAAUGGAAUUAUUUUUAGAAUAUGUCUAUGCUUUUUAAAAAUUAUAAUUAUAUAUUUUUACCAAUGUAAUUUUUUGAUUUUUACUAAUAUAAUCAUGUUUUUGUUACUAAUACAAUAUUACUUUUAUUAUUAAUACAACUUUGUUCUUUACUGGCUUCAUUUUUUUUUACUCUUUUUUUUUUUUUUUUUUCUUUUUUAAGACCAAAUAGAAAUUAUAAAAAAUAAAACGAAAGAAAAAAAAAUGUCAAUAAACAGAAUAUCUCAUGAGAUUGAAGCUAACACUGUCUUAGCAACCGAACUAAAAGAAAGUGUUCUGGAAGAGGAAAAAAAAUUGGACGAGUAUCCAAAAUUGGUUGAAGAAAUUAAUGAAAAGUUGGAAUUAGUUUCUAAAAAUUUUGAUGCAACUAAGUUAGAAUAUAAAACAGUGAAGUUACAUAAAGAUUAUAUCGAGGAGGAAUGGAAAAAAAAAUUAAAAACCUUAUAUACUCUUUUAGGAUUUGAGAUAAUAACAGAAGAGGACAAGAUUAUAAUCGAAUUUACCAACAUCCAUGUGUCCGAUCUGCAAAAAAAAUAUCGAGCUACUGUUGCAUUACAUGGAGGGGUUUAUGAAGCCAUAGAAACAUCACCACGUAUAAUACAAUUUGAAGACUACGUGAAUAAUUUAAAUAAAGGACUACCAUUUACUACUUUCUGCUGCCUACUUAGGAAAUCUUUUAAAGAAUUAAAAUAAAACUUUUAUCAAUAAAUGCAGAUACAUAAAUUUAUUUUCUAAUUUU